GUAGCUCAGUUGGUAGAGCAUGAGACUCUUAAUAUCAGGGUUGUGGGUUCGAGCCCCACGUUGAGCA